rnacentral:rRNA from 1 species
GACGAACGCUGGCGGCGUGCUUAACACAUGCAAGUCGAACGGAAAGGCCCUGCUUUUGUGGGGUGCUCGAGUGGCGAACGGGUGAGUAACACGUGAGUAACCUGCCCUUGACUUUGGGAUAACUUCAGGAAACUGGGGCUAAUACCGGAUAGGAGCUCCUGCUGCAUGGUGGGGGUUGGAAAGUUUCGGCGGUUGGGGAUGGACUCGCGGCUUAUCAGCUUGUUGGUGGGGUAGUGGCUUACCAAGGCUUUGACGGGUAGCCGGCCUGAGAGGGUGACCGGCCACAUUGGGAAUGAGAUACGGCCCAGACUCCUACGGGAGGCAGAAGUGGGGAAUAAUGCAGAAUGGGCGGAAGCCUGAUGCAGCAACGCCGCGUGCGGGAUGAAGGCCUUCGGGUUGUAAACCGCGUUCGCCUGUGACGAAGCGUGAGUGACGGUAAUGGGUAAAGAAGCACCGGCUAACUACGUG